rnacentral:rRNA from 1 species
UACGGAGGGUGCGAGCGUUGUCCGGAAUCACUGGGCGUAAAGGGCGCGUAGGUGGCGCGGCAAGUCAACGGUGAAAGCUCGACGCUCAACGUCGAGUCGGCCGUCGAUACUGCCGCGCUGGAGCACUGUAGAGGCAGGCGGAAUUCCGGGUGUAGCGGUGGAAUGCGUAGAGAUCCGGAAGAACACCGGUGGCGAAGGCGGCCUGC